GGAAAUUUGAUAACAUAAUAAUAAACCUACAUUAGUGCUAAGUCCUAAAAGUGUUAUCAGAAUUUAAAUCUCAAAGUCUAUUUGCCAAGGUUUAAGUCCAGAAGGGUAUUAAGCUGCAAGUUGAAUAACACGUAUGAACAUGGAAUAGAUAUCAAAUGACAAAAGAAAGUUAUAACAUGUAUUAAAAUAUGCACAAUUCCAAAUUCAAAAUCACAAUCUGUGUUAGAUGGCUACAUUCGGAGAAG
rnacentral:misc_RNA from 1 species